CAUGUGUUUUUCUCAUGUUCUGUAAUUUUUGUUGUGGUAUGUAAGAUGUGAUGCUCCAUGAUCUAGAUGCUGCAAAUGCUCACUCUCAAUGAAGCAACCAAGAGUUUAUGUCCAUAAUGAGCCAGAUGAUGAAACCUCACAAGACUGAAAUUACUGAUAAGCUAAGUCAAGAAAUUAACAAGGUAGUCAAUAGAAACAUUGAUCAAGGUAUGGCAGAGCUUGUUCCAGGUGUUCUCUUCAUGGAUGAGGUGAACCAAUCAUAUUACAGCACACCUACCUAGCUCUUCUAAAUAUAUGGAUCCCACAAUUGCAUAUUGUGAGCAAGUUCAAUUUAAUUCAAUUCCCUGCUGCAUUUUUUUUUAAGAAUGAUGACAGAAUGGUUAUCUUACAAAUGUAUGGUGUGCUGCAGGUGCACAUGCUUGAUAUGGAAUGUUUUACAUAUUUGAGCAGUACCUUAGAAAGUUCCUUGGUACCAUUGUCAUAUCUGCAACAUAAAGUUCUUCCUCUGCUCUAUCCUGCUUCCUUAUAUCUGUCACUCCACUCCAAAAAUCUUAGAAGACUUCUUUCCCUAAUAUGUAAGAUAGAAUUGUUCAGUUACCUCUCCAAUAAUUCUCAUUUUGUUUCUUCCAAUUGGAAUUUGCACAGGAACUGAUAUCAGCAGUCCAAAUGGUAUUCCUGUUGAUGUGUUAGAUCAUCUGGUUAUUAUCAGAACUCUACCCUACACAUCACAGAAAUGGUCCAGAUCUUGACCAUUCUAGCAACUGAAGAAAGCUUAACACCAGCCAGCAUUGUGGCAAAACCCAGUGGUGGCAAUCAGAUUAGCAAGGUUUGUUCAUCUUCCAAAAGUCUUGUGAAUUAGAAGAUGCUUUGUUGCAAGAUACUUCUGUGUAAGCACACUCUAAAUCACAAUACUUGAUGCUCUUCACAUGGCAUUGCUAAGCUCUUAUACAGAGUUGCCAUCAUAUAACCUGCAACGGAUUUUGUACUUUCAUUUCAAUACAACUUAAUUCUUUUGAUGCUAGGGGUCUGAAGGAUAUGGCAGUGCUUUUCCUGGAUGCCAAAGCCUCAACCCAACUUUUACAGGACCAACCUGAUAAAUAUGUUUCAUAGUAGUUUGGA